AGUCGAACGGCAGCACGGACUUCGGUCUGGUGGCGAGUGGCGAACGGGUGAGUAAUGUAUCGGAACGUGCCUAGUAGCGGGGGAUAACUACGCGAAAGCGUAGCUAAUACCGCAUACGCCCUUCGGGGGAAAGCGGGGGACCUUCGGGCCUCGCACUAUUAGAGCGGCCGAUAUCGGAUUAGCUAGUUGGUGGGAGUAACGGCUCACCAAGGCGACGAUCCGUAGCUGGUUUGAGAGGACGACCAGCCACACUGGGACUGAGACACGGCCCAGACUCCUACGGGAGGCAGCAGUGGGGAAUUUUGGACAAUGGAAACCCUGAUCCAGCCAUCCCGCGUGUGCGAUGAAGGCCUUCGGGUUGUAAAGCACUUUUGGCAGGAAAGAAACGGCACGGGAUAAUACCCCGUGCAACUGACGGUACCUGCAGAAUAAGCACCGGCUAACUACGUGCCAGCAGCCGCGGUAAUACGUAAGUGCAAGCGUUAAUCAGAUUACUGGGCGUAAAGCGUGCGCAGGCGGUUCGGAAAGAAGAUGUGAAAUCCCAGAGCUUAACUUUGGAACUGCAUUUUUAACACCGAGCUAAGAGUGUGGUAAGCAGAGGGAGGUGGAAUUCCGCGUGUAGCAGUGAAAUGCGUAGAUAUGCGGAGAACACCGAUGGCGAAGGCAGCCUCCUGGGAUAACACUGACGCUCAUGCACAGCGUGGGGAGCAAGCAGGAUUAGAUACCCUGGUAGUCCACGCCCUAAACGAUGUCAACUAGCUGUUGGGGCCUUCGGGCCUUGGUAGCGCAGCUAACGCGUGAAGUUGACCGCCUGGGGGCACGGUCGCAAGAUUAAAACUCAAAGGAAUUGACGGGGACCCGCACAAGCGGUGGAUGAUGUGGAUUAAUUCGAUGCAACGCGAAAAACCUUACCUACCCUUGACAUGUCUGGGGAAGUGCUCGCAAGAGAACCGGAACACAGGUGCUGCAUGGCUGUCGUCAGCUCGUGUCGUAGAGAUGUUGGGUUAAGUCCCGCAACGAGCGCAACCCUUGUCAUUAGUUGCUACGAAAGGGCACUCUAAUGAGACUGCCGGUGACAAACCGGAGGAAGGUGGGGAUGACGUCAAGUCCUCAUGGCCCUUAUGGGUAGGGCUUCACACGUCAUACAAUGGUCGGGACAGAGGGUCGCCAACCCGCGAGGAGAGCCAAUCCCAGAAACCCGAUCGUAGUCCGGAUCGCAGUCUGCAACUCGACUGCGUGAAGUCAGAAUCGCUAUUAAUCGCGGAUCAGCAUGUCGCGGUGAAUACGUUCCGGGUCUUGUACACACCGCCCGUCACACCAUGUGGGAGUGGGUUUUACCAGAAGUGAUUAGCCUAACCGUAAGGAGGGCGAUUACCACGGUAGGAUUCAUGACUGGGGUGAAGUCGUAACAAGGUAG
rnacentral:rRNA from 1 species